CAAUAUCUGCAGAUGAAUCAACUAGUCCUGGUCGACGGUGCAUACAUUGCUAUAGGAGAAGCUUAAUCAUAGAUGAUGCAGGAUGACUGAAAUGGCAAAGCAUCAAUGCUCAUAGCAUCUGCUGCUCCCCAUCACUAGCUAUUGCUUUUGAUUCUUGAGAUUUGUUGCAGCUGUUGGUAGACUGUGAAAGAGUUCUUUAUCAUUUGUUGGCAGUAAAGUAAAUUUCACAGUCUACCAACAGCUGCAACAAA
rnacentral:misc_RNA from 1 species